AGCGGAGUGGCGCAGUGGCAGCGCGUUGGGUUGCCAACCCAGAGGUCCGUGGAUCAAAACCACGCUCUGCUA